rnacentral:rRNA from 1 species
CCUACGGGAGGCAGCAGUGAGGAAUAUUGGUCAAUGGACGCAAGUCUGAACCAGCCAUGCCGCGUGCAGGAAGACGGCUCUAUGAGUUGUAAACUGCUUUUGUACGAGGGUAAACGCAGAUACGCGUAUCUGUCUGAAAGUAUCGUACGAAUAAGGAUCGGCUAACUCCGUGCCAGCAGCCGUGGGAAUACGGAGGAUUCAAGCGUUAUCCGGUUUUAUUGGGUUUAAAGGGUGCGUAGGCGGUCGGAUAAGUUAGAGGUGAAAUCCCGAGGCUUAACUUCGGAAUUGCCUCUGAUACUGUUCGGAUAGAGAGUAGUUGCGGUAGGCGGAAUGUAUUGUGUAGCGGUGAAAUGCUUAGAGAUCAUACAGAACACCGAUUGCGAAGGCAGCUUCCCAAGCUACUUCUGACGUUGAGGCACGAAAGCGUGGGGAGCAAACAGGAUUAGAUACCCCUGUAGUC